rnacentral:rRNA from 1 species
AUACGUAGGGUGCGAGCGUUGUCCGGAAUUACUGGGCGUAAAGAGCUCGUAGGUGGUUUGUCGCGUCGUCUGUGAAAUUCCGGGGCUUAACUCCGGGCGUGCAGGCGAUACGGGCAUAACUUGAGUACUGUAGGGGAGACUGGAAUUCCUGGUGUAGCGGUGAAAUGCGUAGAGAUCGGGAGGAACACCAGUGGCGAAGGCGGGUAACUGGACUGCAACUGACGCUGAGGAGCGAAAGCAUGGGUAGCGAACAGGAUUAGAUACCCUGGUAGUCCAUGCCGUAAACGGUGGGCGCUAGGUGUAGGGGUCUUCCACGACUUCUGUGCCGUAGCUAACGCAUUAAGCGCCCCGCCUGGGGAGUACGGCCGCAAGGCUAAAACUCAAAGGAAUUGACGGGG